UGAAGUCUUUAAACAUUUAAAAAGUAUUUUGAUAACUAUUUCAAUGUGAUUGACUUCCUUUGAAAUUCUAAGUAUUUUCUCUUAUGGACUUAAAACAUAUUUCUAAAAAGGAGUCCAUAGGCUUCACCAGACUUCCAAAGGGGACCAUGACACAAAAAAAGGUCAAGAAACGCUUUGUAACGCAAAGGAUGGAUCAGUACUUGACUAGUGUGUCGUAGCAAUGAUUCUCACGGAAAUAUGGGUUGUGCCAUGUAUCCACCAAGAUCUUUUUCUGAAUAAUACUGAAAUGUUGUGACUUCUGUGAUCUCUGUCAUGGUGACCCAGCAGAGUACAAAUUCUGGCAGACCCUAACAAAUGGGAAUGGCUUCAACUAUGGGUGAUGGAUUGUAUAACUUUUCCCCAGUGGCCACUGUAACUGAACAUGACGGAAUCAUAGAUUUAGAGAUGGAAGAGAACUUCAAGAUAGAAGUCACCAGUGAAGAAGUCCCUUGAAGUCUCAACAGAAUACAAUUUUUAAAAAACCUGUGAAUGAAGAAUUCAGCCAAUACUCUUUUUUUCUUCAUUAUCUAUACUGCACACAUAUAUACCAUAUUUACCCAUUUAUACCAUAAAUCAUAAUGAGUUCCCUUUUCUGCCUGUUUUAUACAUAUUAAGAACCUUGGAUACAUGUUUUUGUCUCCUUUUUAUCCAUUCCCAAAAUGUAGGUGAAAAGGUAAAAACUCUUUCUGCUGAAAUGGGAGAAAAAUGCAUGGUCAGUUAAUUCAGAACAUGGCCCUUGAUCUCCCAGGUUAUUGCUAAAAUGCUUCUCUGUGGCUUCCUUUGGCAGAAUGUUUCGGGAAUUACUUUAGAACAGAUGAAUUUUUUAACUUUUAUUGGACAAGGAAUUACUCCACAUUCUGUACAACAGGGAACACAUUAUUCUGCCCCAGCUACAUAGGGAAAAUAGCAUAUUAAAAAUAAAUAUCACAUAGGAGAGAGAUAUGAUUCUUGAAAGAAGUUUGGCAUACAAGGAUAAACACAAAAGAUAUGCAGGAAAGAUUUAUAGGGUACAGUUUACCUUUGGUCACUGGCUCAAUGCAUAGAGCAGGCAAAAGAUACCAUAUUUGAAGGAAAAGAGACUCAUGGCAUGGCUAUGGAAAGAACACUGAAACUCCUGUAAGAAAGAAAUGGGUUCAGAUUUUUUUCCUCAGAUGUUAAUAGCCAUGUGACCUGGGGUAAUUCAUUUAACUUCACUGGGCCUCCUUUUUUUCAUCUGAAAAAUGAGGAGUUGAAUUUAGGGUCUUCUAAAGCUCGUGCCAUUUCUCCAUCUAUGAUCCUGCAGAGUCAGAGGACCUGGAUUCAAAUCCUCUUUUGGAUGAUUCUUGCUUUGUGAUCUGGAAGGAUGGAAUCUGUUCCAAGUCAAGAAAACAAAAGUAAGGGAACAUUUUCAAGUAGAAUGGGGUCAAGGAACUUUGGUGCAGGAGUUUCUCCGACACUCCCCCUUUAGUCCUCUUACACACAUGCACACACAUAUGCACGUGCAUGCACACAUAAUUAUCAGAUAUUUCAUUGCUUAUUCGCCUAUACAUAAGAUUAACCCCAAUAACAAGCAGAGCACUUAUCUGCACCAGCCUCAGACACCUGCUUUCCCUCCUUUUCCUAACAGAAUGUCCUUUCUUUGUGCAAGUCUCUCCCCAUCAUGAUAUACGUCUCCUCUAGAGAGAUAAGGGGAUCUCAAUUAUUUUUGUGUCAUGGACCUUUCGGGUAUCUGGUGAAGCACAUGGCAUUUUAAUCAUUAAAUAAAAUUCAUGACUUUACAAAGAAAACCAAAGGUUGAUGAAAACAAAGAU